AGUGAACGCUGGCGGUAGGCCUAACACAUGCAAGUCGAACGGCAGCACAGAGGAGCUUGCUCCUUGGGUGGCGAGUGGCGGACGGGUGAGGAAUACAUCGGAAUCUACUCUGUCGUGGGGGAUAACGUAGGGAAACUUACGCUAAUACCGCAUACGACCUACGGGUGAAAGCAGGGGAUCUUCGGACCUUGCGCGAUUGAAUGAGCCGAUGUCGGAUUAGCUAGUUGGCGGGGUAAAGGCCCACCAAGGCGACGAUCCGUAGCUGGUCUGAGAGGAUGAUCAGCCACACUGGAACUGGGACACGGUCCGGACUCCUACGGGAGGCAGCAGUGGGGAAUAUUGGACAAUGGUCGCAAGCCUGAUCCAGCCAUACCGCGUGGGUGAAGAAGGCCUUCGGGUUGUAAAGCCCUUUUGUUGGGAAAGAAAUCCAUCUGGUUAAUACCCGGAUGGGAUGACGGUACCCAAAGAAUAAGCACCGGCUAACUUCGUGCCAGCAGCCGCCGUAA
rnacentral:rRNA from 1 species